CCCGCCACUAUGCCUGUCUGUCAGUGACUCUCGGUGUAAUCCAGUGGAGGCUUAGAGUGACCCAGCUUUUAGGAAACAGUGCUGCCCCAAACAAGUGGUCAACCCUGUGCCAAAAGUCUGGAACACUC